rnacentral:misc_RNA from 1 species
GAUGAAGAACGUAGCGAAAUGCGAUACUUGGUGUGAAUUGCAGAAUCCCGUGAACCAUCGAGUCUUUGAACGCAAGUUGCGCCCGAAGCCAUCAGGUUGAGGGCACGUCUGCCUGGGCGUCACAUAUCGUUGCCCAAUGCCUAUUGCAGUGCAAUAGGAAUUUCUAGGGCGAAUGAUGGCUUCCCGUGAGCGUUGUUGCCUCGCGGUUGGUUGAAAAUCGAGUCCUUGGUAGGGUGUGCCAUGGUAGAUGGUGGUCGAGUUAGAACGAUACCGAUCAUGUGCAUGCUCCCCAAAAUAUGGCCUCUAUGACCCACACGCGUCUUUUGACGCUCAUGACGAGACCUCAGGUCAGGCGGGGCUACCCGCUGAAUUUAAGCAUAUCAAUGAGCGGAGGA